AGAAACCCCUCCCCCUUCAGCUGAUACAUUGACCAAGAUGGCAGUAUGUGUCCAUGGUGAAGUUGAAGCCAUCACUGGUGAGGGGAAUGGAAUUACCAUGGUCGGCCUGACAUGCACAUGUGCCACCUGGGGCUAUGAAGAGACUGCUUUCCUGCGCAUCCAAAUACAAUGGCAGAUCAUCCAGCAAGGAGGAAGAGAUGAAGCUAAUUGGGUGGACAGCCAACCCUGACUGCAUGGUCUGGUCUGUGAGGCCAGUAGGAGGCACUGAAGAGUCCCAUCACACAAGAAAGUGGAGAGGGGGAACGGAGGGCUCUGCCCAGAUCUCACACAAACAGUCCUGCCUUGGGAGGUCCCACUCAUACCUGCACAAGUGCCCACCAACCUGGGUACCACGGCCCUGCCUCUGAUGGACGUUUGUAAGACAGUGAUUUGGCACCCAGGUCACAUUCUCCCAUGGAAAAAGGUACUGUGCUGGGGGACCUGGGGCCCACUGAAUCCGUACUCACAACUACCAGGCUCUGCCUGGCUCACACUUGGUCUGGGUCCAUGUGAAGUGGGAGACUAGAGACAGAGCACAUCUCAAGGAAGUGGCCAACCCCAGGGGCCUGUCUGCGGCCCCUUCCUCCUGCCUUCUUCCCUUCCUGGCACCCUUGGAGCCCACCAGGGGUUCAAGCCCCCUUCCUCCCCAGUGCUGCCCUUCCAAACACCUUUGCUGGUGUGAGGCAAGGAAGGGGUGGGAAAACACGACUGUGAGGUCCUGGAUAUCUCCAGAAGGGGACUGGUCACGUCACAGCACUAGGAAGAGGCAACAGUAGGAUUUGAACCCAGGCACUCUGGUCUCUCUUAGGCACAUGUCAGGUGUGUUAUGCAUGUUAGUAUGUAUGUAUCUGUGUGAAUAUGUGCAUCUUUGGGGACAGAAGGGUGUUCCACUUAACCCAGACCUUCUAGCUUACAAAGCCUUCUAAGGCAGCACUUUGUCCAAAGGACCAGAGUCUUGUCGUCUCCUGUUUGAAGGUC
rnacentral:lncRNA from 1 species